CAAUGAUGAAAAAACUGCUUCAUCACCUUAGGAGCCGUCAUGCAAAAACUGGUUACAAUCUCUCAAGAGCUGUCCAAAAGUAUACGAAGCAGACAAAGAACUUUACAAAAUAUAUAGCUGGUGUGAGGAGGUUGAUAUGAACAUUUCCUUGGGACACUUGAACUGGAUUCAAAUCUCUGCUAGCCCUUUAAAGUCACUGGGGUGACAUGGGGUGAGUCCCAUGUCCUACCUCAAAGGAUUCUUGUGAAGGUAGACUAGGAACACCUGGUGCGUUCCAUCCUGAGCUCUCUUGAGCAGGAAAGGGGAGUCUGGUGGCCAAAAGUGGCCCUUUGGACCUCCUUAUCUGGCCCUUAGGACUCUCCCCAGAAUGCACAUUCCUCCCCAGUCAUAUCUUCUUUCUCCGGGCUUCACCCUACACCAGCCAUGCUUCAUAGCCUUCCUGAGCAUUUUUGCAUUUGAUUUCAGAUCCAUGUCAGACGAAAAGCUUCCUUUGCAGGAAGGGGAAAUGAAUCUAGCACAGGGGGCGGCAACCUAAGGCCCAUGGGCCACAAGCGGCCCACGGGGGUCGUUUAACCGGCUCCCGAGCCGCCCCCAAACUGAGCCGCCCGCUCAGCGAGUCCCCGCGCUAAACCAGUACACGCUUCCGUGGCGCCGGAAAUCGUGUCUACACAGACGCAGACGCCGGAAAUCGUGGGCGCGAUCCAGUCCACGGUGGGAUUUCUGCUGGAGUGAACCGGCCCAGCCGAGGUAAACCUUGCCAACCCCUUAUCUAGCAUAUUCUCUCUCCCCGAACCAGAGUCCAUCCCUUCACAAGCAAAAAGUUCCUGGCUCUGCCUUUCAGACAUGUGCCUGCCACCUAGUGGUGUCUUGUGGCGACGGAGAUCGCCCUUCCUCUGCAAAGGAGAAUAAUUUAACGCUACUUCCCACUUAAGCACUAUAUCUACAGGGCGUGAAAUUAGUUCCAGCAAGCAGCUAAUAAAAAUAUUUAGCAAUUCACUAGUCUUUAAAUCAGCAGCAGAAUAUUUCUUUAUUUGCAUCAGUGCUUGUUUCUUCUAGUUCUAAUAUUUGAUGAUCAAGCCAGAAUAGCUCUGCUAAAACUGUAAAAAAAAAACACACAAAAAAACUCCCAAGUUAUAUUCCUGUGCAAAAAAAAAAAAAAGUUCAGAAUUAAUCCCCACGGGGGCCAGACACUUCUUCCCCCUACACGGUAGCUGAAAUCCAGAAACCAGGUCCUGUUUACCAGAGAACAGUUCCUAUUUUUGGAUACUGGCUGCUGGUAAAUCACAGCAGAAUGAGUGUGUGUGUGUGUGUUUAUUUAUAAAUAUUUGCAAGUUAUAUAUAUGGUGCAGUGUGUGUGUGUGUGCGCGCGCGCGCAGUAAGUCCCAUAGCGUUUAAGUGAUUGCAGCCUCCCUGUCCUUAUUUUGUUAUUUAUUUCCACAAUUUAUACCCUGAUUUUUAGUUAAAAGUAUCCCAGGGCAGCUUACAAAAAUAAUUUCUGAUGUAGCCUUUGUCCCCAGGCUCACUAUGUAAAAAUACAUGGCACACAAGGAAAAGAGGAACAGGAGGGAGAAGGCGAAAGGAAGCUCAAGCAAAGGUUCUUGAAAGUUACAGUCCUUAAAGCUGCCAGUUCUGAUGGUCUUGCCCAUGGGUAGGCAAUUUAAGGCCCGGGGGCCAGAUCCAUCCCAAUCACCUUCUAAAUCUGGCCUGC